CCGCCGGAGGAGAUCCGCCAACCUAGAAGAGAAAACACGCUUACCUUUCCAUGUAGACAGAUGGAUAUUUACAACAUGGAAGAGAAUUAUGCUGAAGCUGUGGUUCACUGGACAACCUGGUAGGAGCCAAGAUAAGCUUUCCUCAGCUAAAGCCAGUAGAAAGGAAUUUACAUACCAAUGUCUGUCUGACAGUUUUAGGCUACCAAGGAUGGUGAGAUCUCCAGUGAGCUGACUGGUAAUAAAAAUAUAACAAUAUACAAUACGUGUAGCUCCUGUCACCCACCACAUGCAGUUGUUGGCCAACCUUUUGUUUUCUUCCUUUCAAUACUAUCAGAGGGUAUGUAGAGCUUGAUUUCUUUUUGAUCAUACUGUGCCUACACUUUUUCAGAUGCAAAUUGACUACCUGUAAUUUUGCAUUCUCAAGCAAUCUCAUGUAUAGCUUGUCACACUGUAUGUUUAUCUGAGUAUAUCUACGUACCAUUUAGUAAGACGUCUAGAUAUUGUCCAUUACACCCAUUUCUUACAUUCAGUAUUCAAAUGAUUCUUUGUGGGAGAGAAAAUUUCCUGUUCCUGAAGAAUUUACCUAGCUUGGGGGGUACAGUAUUUUCUUCCUGAACGUCUCAAAGUUAUUAUGAAUGAAAAAAUAUUUUACAUGGUUCCCAAGUGAGACAGGACAAGAGGCAAGAGACACCUCAGUGAAAUUCACUCUAAAGUGCUAACAGAAUUGCCAGGGUCAUAUGGAACCAUAAUCAUUAUUUUUGAGAACUUCUAGAGAAUGAUGGCCCCAGAGGAGUGGAAAAUGCUCAAUUACUAGCUUUAGGAAGAGGUAAAAAAAGAGAUGUGGGAUUUACACACUAGUAAAUUUAAUUUUAGCAGGAGAGUGAUAAAAUUAAUAUUUUAUUCAGUAUGUACAGAGAAGACAAUGUGAUCAUAAAUAUAAAGCCAUGUGGUCUUGUCAAACAUGUGCCAA